CGAAAUUCUAUAAAUCCUAAAAAACAAAAAACCCAAAACGUUCAUAUUAAACAAAAAUAAAGUCCAUAGUACUUAAAAUAAAAAUAUCCAGAGUUGUCGUCCAGUCCUAAGUUGGAGGAUCUCAUGAUUGCUGAAAUGAUAGAACUCACAAUUAAUGUGCUCUAAACCCCUUCACAAACAGUGAACAAAUACAACGAUUACAUCUCUGGAGGGUCUUGAUUCGCAACCCCUUAGCACUAUUAUUUGCC
rnacentral:lncRNA from 1 species